UUUCCCUAACUUGUAAAUAACUACAAACUUGACAUUGGCUAGUCUUUGUAAAGCCAGACGAGAGAAAAAAAAGAAUUUCGGGAGUUUUAUAAUAUUUUUUCCUAAAUACAUAAAACGUCUGCAGCAGCGAGAACUGAUAAAUAUUAUGUAUUUGGUACGAAAAUUGAUCGUUAGUUAGAUGGGUCACGUGACACAUCCGCACUUAAUUCACUCAAGGCAACAAGGGUGCGAGAAUAGUCAGCGCCCUCCAUUACCCUCGCCUCAUCUCCGAUCCGCUCCAUUCGGUGUCAGUUUGUCAGAGUCAAAGAAAAUUAGGCGCGAACAAUUAAAUAAAUAGAGAGUGGACAAAAGCCGGGUACACACGUGCAGUUAGAACUGACAGUUUUAACUGUUCAGUUACCUAAUGAUAAUUUGAUUAUUUGUAAAGGUUCGUUGUCAAUUAAAUUGUUCAGUUCUCAGUUUAGCUUACACAAUAUGAUUUAACUGAGCAGACCAACUGUUCAGUUAUAACUGCGCGUGUGAUCCGGCAUAAAGUUGUCAGUUAAAUUAUUCAGUUCUCAGUUUUGCCUAUGCACAUCACGAUACUGGACAGUCUUACUGUUCUCAUAACUGUACGUGUGAAGCCGGCUUAAGCUUCUAUAGCCUCUACUUGCAUGACUCGCGCGAGGGACUUUGGUAGACAUAUUCGCGAUUGUGUGGGUCCGGGGUGAAGGACGCAAACUGACAUCACGAUACAUGAAUCGACAGCGAGUGACAAUGGAAAACAGCUCUUAUGUACU